rnacentral:rRNA from 1 species
GACGAACGCUGGCGGCGUGCCUAACACAUGCAAGUCGAGCGAGGAAAACUUCUUCGGAAGUGGAACUAGCGGCGGACGGGUGAGUAACACGUGGGCAACCUACCUCGUAGAGGGGAAUAGCCUUCCGAAAGGAAGAUUAAUACCGCAUAAGAUUGCAUCUUCGCAUGAAGGAGGAAUUAAAGGAGCAAUCCACUACAAGAUGGGCCCACGUCGCAUUAGCUAGUUGGUAAGGUAAUGGCUUACCAAGGCGACGAUGCGUAGCCGACCUGAGAGGGUGAUCGGCCACACUGGGACUGAGACACGGCCCAGACUCCUACGGGGGGCAGCAGUGGGGAAUAUUGCACAAUGGGGGAAACCCUGAUGCAGCAACGCCGCGUGAGUGAUGAAGGUCUUCGGAUUGUAAAGCUCUGUCUUCAGGGACGAUGAUGACGGUACCUGAGGAGGAAGCCACGGCUAACUACGUGCCAGCCGCCGCAGUAA